GCAUAUCAAUAAGCGGAGGAAAAGAAACCAACAGGGAUUGCCUCAGUAACGGCGAAGUGAAGCGGCAACAGCUCAAAUUUGAAAUCUGGCCCCAGGCCCGAGUUGUAAUUUGCAGAGGAUGCUUUUGGUGCGGUGCCUUCCAAGUUCCCUAGAACGGGACGCCAGAGAGGGUGAGAGCCCCGUACAGUUGGACACCAAGCCUUUGUAAAGCUCCUUCGACGAGUCGAGUAGUUUGGGAAUGCUGCUCAAAAUGGGAGGUAUAUUUCUUCUAAAGCUAAAUACCGGCCAGAGACCGAUAGCGCACAAGUAGAGUGAUCGAAAGAUGAAAAGCACUUUGAAAAGAGGGUUAAACAGCACGUGAAAUUGUUAAAAGGGAAGCGCUUGUGACCAGACUUGCGUCCGGUGAAUCACCCAGCUCUCGCGGCUGGGGCACUUCGCCGGCUCAGGCCAGCAUCAGCUCGCUGUCGGGGACAAAAGCUUCAGGAACGUAGCUCUCUUCGGGGAGUGUUAUAGCCUGUUGCACAAUACCCUUCGGCGGGCUGAGGUACGCGCUCCGCAAGGAUGCUGGCAUAAUGGUCAUCAGCGACCCGUCUUGAAACACGGACCAAGGAGUCAACCUUAUGUGCGAGUGUUCGGGUGUCAAACCCCUACGCGUAAUGAAAGUGAACGCAGGUGAGAGCUUCGGCGCAUCAUCGACCGAUCCUGAUGUUCUCGGAUGGAUUUGAGUAAGAGCAUAUAGGGUUGGACCCGAAAGAAGGUGAACUAUGCGUGUAUAGGGUGAAGCCAGAGGAAACUCUGGUGGAGGCUCGCAGCGGUUCUGACGUGCAAAUCGAUCGUCAAAUAUGCGCAUGGGGGCGAAAGACUAAUCGAACCUUCUAGUAGCUGGUUUCCGCCG
rnacentral:rRNA from 1 species